UUUUGAUGCCUGAAUUAUUUAUAUCAGCCAGAAUCCUGUCACCUUAGGUCGAUCGUACCUCAGUUUGAUAUUUGAAAACUAUCAAAUUCAGUUCCUAAACUUGUCUAGGUCACACCCAACAAGGGUACUCCUGGGCAUUAGCUCAGGUGGUUAGAGCGCACCCCUGAUAAGGGUGAGGUCCCUGGUUCAAGUCCAGGAUGGCCCAUUCGGUGUUGGGGGUAUAGCUCAGUUGGUAGAGCGCCUGCUUUGCAAGCAGGAUGUCAGCGGUUCGAGUCCGCUUACCUCCACUGAACCACCUACUAAUGACGAAGCUACAGGAGAGCUUAUGUUUGUGUGACUUAGAAAUUGUUCUAAUGAAAGAACCUAGCUUCUUAUCAUUCUUAGUAAUAAGUUUAUUUUGAUUGAUAAGACGCUGGGCUCUCUGCAGAAAUUGCAGAAAGUUCAGUAGAACCUUGACAACUGCAUAGUAUAAGUCUGGAAUUAAUUUAAAGCAUCUCAUGGAUGCAUUAUUUUUUAGGUUGAAUUGGAAUUAAUAAAUUCUCAUUGAUUCCAUUUGGUUUAAAUUAUAAUGUGAGUUAUGAGCAAGAUAUAGGCUCUAUGA
rnacentral:tRNA from 1 species